AGCACUCUGCCUCUCUCGUUGUUUUCUUCAUGUUUCCUCUCCCUUUCGUACGCUUUGACAGUCCUCAACCGAGCAGAGCAUGCAUCCCGUCCUUGGUGGCGUGAGAUUGAGCCACGUCUACACCAAGGACGGGAGAUCGAUCCUAGUCUAUUGAUUCCCCUUUCCUUUUAUGGAAUGGAGUUAAGUUUUCAGGAAAACGUGUCUACUCAAAAAAAUGGUACAUUUUUCAGAAGCGUUGAAUUUCGAUUUGGACCGUUUUCUAAUCCGACUCCCCAUUUUUUUCAAAACCCUAAAUUUCAUUUAUAAAUACUCCUUUUCUUUUCAUUCAAGGAAGUCUGUAAAUUUUCUUCAAAAGAAAAUAUAGUAAUAGAAUCAGAAAAAUCAGAAAAGAAAGACAGUGAGUCUCCCUGGUUGGAGUAAAAGAGGUGAUAGUAAUUUUGGCGUUUGAGUUUAAGUCUCUGCCUGUAUUCCUAGGUUUUGAGAUCGAAGCUUUAUGUGGAAGAAAAUUGUUGUCCCCUGCUCGUUAUCAGUCUUCUUCGCUGCUGCAGAGAAGGUAUAUUUUUUUUUCAUUUUGUUUAUUAGUUCCCUUGCAUAUUCUAGUUAUAGUUUGUCGUUGCUAUAGAUGACAAACUUUUAUACCUUCUUUGCUUAUCUGAAUAUAAAUUUAUAACUCCCAUUAUAGCUAUACAUUUGUUGUGUUUGCUCGUUUUGACCUGGGUCUUCUAGCAGGAGUUACAUUCCCUUGUUUUGAUGAGCCAUUGUUUUCUCAUUCAUGAGCAUGCAUGUAUAAGUGGAAGGGUUGAUCCCCUUAUUUUGUUGCUCUCGAUUUUGUUAUUAUUUAGUAUGGUUGUGAUCAAUUCCAAAAUGUCGCAUUGGUCCUUGUUCGUUUUGCCCACUUUAAAAGCCGCAAUAUUGUUUCAUGUUGGACGUCAUAUUCUUCAUUCUUGCAUUUCGAGUUGGAUGAAUGGGUCUAAGGCGUCAAAAUUUUGGAUUUUCUUCUAACGUCUGUAGUGACUUUUGUUCUAAAAUUUUCUCUUGGAGAGACUGAAUUAGACUCAGAGUGUUGGGUUUUUUUUCGUGUAUGUUUCCGUCCCAGAUUUUAUCCUCUUUUUCCUUCAUUUUUGCUCUCAACUUCCAAAUUUUUCCCCUCUGCCUGACAUCCCUGUUUCUGUUUACUGUCUUCGUAAUAAAGCAUGGUUCUUGAGUUCUUGCAUAAUGGAGGUUUUAACCAAAAUAAGCUAUUAUAUAAAGUCAUUCAUCAAAAUAAUAUAUUUUUUUAAAAUUUUACAAAACUAAUAUAAACAUAUUUCACAAUAACGUUUUAGGAUAUAUUUUAUUUUUUAAAAGUUGAUGGUGUCUCAGAUUGAUAUACGUUACUCACAGUAACGUUUUACUCCUAAAACGUUACUCACAGUAAUAUUUUAGGAGUAAAACGUUAUUGAAAAUAACGUUUUAAAGUAAAACGUUACUUACAAUAACGUAUAUCAACCUAAUGCUGUUAGUUUUUAAAAAAUAAAAUAUAUCCUAAAACGUUACCAUGAAAUACGUUUAUACUAGUUUUGUAAAAUUUUAGAAAAAUAUAUUACUUUAGUAAAUUAUUUUAUAUAAUGACUUAGUUUGGUUAAAAAUUCUGCAUAAUGUGAUAUUGCGUCAUUUGAUGUCUUCGAUUCGUUCCCGAGUUGAGAAUACAAGCAAAAAUUCCAUGGUUUAGUUGAGGUUUUUUGUUGAUACUAUGUGCCUUUAUUAAGAAGAAUUAGUUUUGUUAAGUAAAGUAGUAUAUUCCGAGCAAGUUUCUGAUCGAUUACAUGGUAGGAAAUAUCUUUGUCGGAUAUAUAUUCAUAUUGAAUGACCUUAUCAAUUAAUUUAUUGCUCAAAACUUAUUUUUAGCUCGAUAUCAUUUCUCUCAUAUCUAUUUCUAACUUGAUCACACCCAUUUCGUUUACUUUUGGCAUCGUUGCAUGACUUUAUUUUCCAAUCUCACACUGUAUAAAUGAUAGUAGGCAAAUGGUGCAUUGAUUUAUAUUCAUUUGUGAUAUUAGUUGUUUAUCAAUAGUGUUGAUUUUUUCUAUUUUUUUGUAUUGUUUUGGUUUGUUUUCCACGAAUCGGCAGAUCUUACAGCUAAUAUAGUAUAUUGGAUCUUCUUGGUUUGUUUUAUACUAUGAUAAUUACCUUUAUUUUAUUUUAUUUUAUUCAUUUUAUGGAUCAUAUGUCUUGUUGUCAGUUAUGGUUUAAGUUUGGUUCCCAAAGAGCAUUGUUAUCUCUUAAUUUCUUCAUCAAACUAUUAGUGCUCAAUAUUCUUCUGUCUAAAUCACUCUCACAGAAUUAUAUGUGUUGUUUAUUUAUUUAUUCAUUUUUGUAGUUAUAUCCAAUUAGAUAAUAUUAAAUAUUCUUUAUUUUUUACUUCAUGUCUGCAUGUGAAUUUUUCCGAGUUCAUUAUGAACUCCUUUUCCCACAUUACUAGAGAGUCGUUAAGGCUCAAAACCUUCAUUUUUUAGUCCGGCAGCCACCAAAAUUGAUGAACAGGUCCAGAAGUGAACGAAACCGAAGUAGAAGAAGUUGAAGAUUUUGGGUUGAGAGGACUAAAUUUAUUUUUAUAAAUGUUGUAUUUCGUUAUUUUUGGGCCGUAGACUUUAUCUUUUGUCAUUAUUAUUUUGUUAGAAUUUAGGACAGGUACAACCGAAUGGGCCUAAAGGCCCAAAACAAAAUGGGUCCAAAUACCUUUCUAGGCGGACAGAAACCGAAUUUAGACCCGACUUUUCUAUCUUUCUCUUUUUAUUUUAACAUGCAUUUAUUUUUUUGCAUGUCCGUCGAUAAAUCUAAGGUUAAGAAUAUUCAAAUCCCCGCUAAAAUGUCAUUUUGUUUUAAUUAAAUCAAUUUGAUCAAGUCAAAUAAAAUUAAAGAAUAAAAAAAACCUGGAUAUUUAAUAACUCAUUUGGAUAGAAAAAUUAGCAUUUCACAUUUUUAAACAACUUUAAAUAUUUUGUAUUCUCAAAAGUUUAAGUUAGACAUUAUAGCCAAAUAAGUUAGUUGUCGAAUAAUCACAAGUGAGUAUUUUAGUAUCGUAAGAAACCUUCGUAAAAUAUAAAUAAGAAUUUUCAAACCUCCUUUAAACAUUUUUCAACUAAUUUCCUGUUUUAAUCGAUUGAAAAAAAAAUGAUUUCCUGAUUUUUCUUUAAAAUUAAGUGGAGACUCUAAACAAAUCUUAAAACUUUAUAAAAUAUUUUUGUCUUUUCCGAAUAAAACAUCUAAGAAUACUAGGGCCUUAUCCCUAUAAUAUAUAUAAAUACGUCUACACAAUUUUCUUGGAUAUGAAUUUGAGUUGACUUACAUAAAUGACCUCGUCCAAUUUUCUUGAUAGUGAGAUUUUAAUAUAAAAUUUCUAGUGGUCACUAAUUAUAAUUUGAAAGAAUCAUAUUUUUUGAAAAAUUAUAUGGUUAAGCAAAUUUAUACUAAAUUACUUAGCAUAGUUAUAGUUUGAUAUAACGAAAACUAACAACUAACAUUGUACAUUAAUGUUGUGGGUUGACUUCGAGUUUGUAUAAUUAAUUAUGUUUGUAUACAUAUAAUUCGCCAGAAUAUACAAAUAAAUAUGAAGAAAUUAUUUUCAUCAUUAACAUAUAAUAAAUGUUUACGUGGACUAUGUCCAGAAUUUUUAUAAUUCCGUUUCUAAUCGAACAAAUUCAUAAUUUGUAUAUGCUAUUCCAAGAUAUUUGUAUACAAUUUAUAUAUCCUAUUUGUAUAUGAUUUGUUGGUACAUUUUAUUUGUAUAGAUAAAGGAUUUAUAUAUUCUUAACCGGUUUUUAUCCUUGAUAGAACCUGCAAAAUAUUAAUUCAAAAACUAGUGUAAAACUUUUUCCUGAUUAUGUUUAGAUCCUAUGUGAAAACUUUUACUUGGUCAAGAAAAGGCCUAUAUCAAUUCAAAUUUCAUUAUGAUCUUUGAAAAAUGCAUAAGUACAACCAACCUAUAUACAACACACUCAUAUUAUAUGAAGGUUCUAUCACCUUUUCGAACUUAUUUUAUAAUUAAUUUUUUACUUCAUUUUGGCGUACAUGGUACUAUCCUCUGGCCGAGCGUGUAACAUCUCGUAAAUUAGGAUAUAUAGGAAGAAACUUAGAAGUUGAAACAGUAUGUUUUGGGAAGAAUUUAAAUCUGGAAAUUUUCAUAAGUUAGAAAAAAUGAGUUUUUGGUCAACUUCAGACGACUAUAACUCCUAACUCAGGAUGAGUUAGAGGUUUUUCUUGAUAUGGUUGGAAAUUCCUUGGAGAUAUCUUUCCAACAUCUCCAAAGUUUCCACAAUUUGGAUUUCGUAUGAGUGAGAUAUGCCUUUUAGCAGUUGAGCCGUUGGAUAAAGGAUUGUCUAAUCCGGAUUUAGGAAUUGAAAAGUUGUAUUUUCCUUACCCAAUUAUUUUAUUUCGUCUUUGGGUAAUAAAUUGGGGUCUAAACUUAUUUCAUUCAGUUGACACUCUUAGAAAACAAGUUAGUGUUUUGAGAGAAUAGAAAAGAAGCUGAAAAAAAAGAGAAGAGAAAAUAAGAACAUUCAAGAUCGACGAAGUUCGACUUGUGAAAAUCGUCGGGGUUGAUCCCUAAAAUGUAUAUGAGAUCUUUCUGUGUUAGGUUCUUCCACCCACACACAAAUUUGAUUCAAUUCAGCAAGUUAGAGUAGAUUGGGUAAUGAACAUUGAUAUUUUGAUGAACAAUUAUUGAAUUCUUGAUUGAAUGGGUUGUAGUAUGUUCUAGUUGAGUUGAUUCGUGUUUCUGGGCUGUUUUAUGAGUCUAAAAUAUUGGGUAUUGAGUAUACUAGUUAUACUAAGUGUUUGGGGGAAGAUCCAUGGAGGAUUUUAAGGUUUAGAGUCAAAAAAUAGAGAAGAAAAAUUGAAACGCGCGUCUGUAGGGCCUUGGGGCGCCACGCCUCCCAAAGAACCCUUGGUCUUGUUUUCAUAAAAGAGUUAUAGCUUUAUAAAAUGAAGCAAGCGGGAAACAAUGAUUUCCAAGAGAGUUUUAAAUAUAUAUUUUGAGCACUAAUAUCAAACCAUAAAAUUUUAUGUUUUAAAAACAUAAGAGACAGUAUAUUUUUGGGAGUAGUAUUGAGCACCGAUGUGGGGAUGCAGUUUCAGAUUAACUCAAGUCUCCAUGAAAUUAAUGUAGCUACCAUGGAUAGAAAAGGGUCAUAAUUUUUGGAUGAAACCUUUUCGCAGUUUACAAGUGGAUCCAUACGACAGUUCAUGUCCUAUACUUUGGCAGGUUUACGAUGGUCCUUAGCAGCGUGAGGUAAAACAUUGUAUCAUCACUAUUUAAGUGAUGGUUGUCGGUUAGAGAAACUCCCAAAGUAUUAGUUGCAUGGUUCCUCAAGAGGUUCUUGCAACAUCUCAUAUUCUAUAUAAACUAAGGUUAAGCUAAGAAAAACAAAUAGAAUCAAAUUUGGGAAUAAGUAAGGAAAUCUAGAAAAUUUUCAGAUUUCAAAAGUGAGUUUUGGAAUUUUCAAACGACCAUAACUUCCAGCUCAGGAUGAGUUUUUGUGAGUUAUUUAUAUGGGUGGAAAUCUCGUUGGAAGAUAUUUUGAAUGACGCCAAGUUUUUGGAUUUUUGAAGUUCUAUGACGGAGAUAUGACCUUUGCAAGAUGGGUUGUUGAGCAGGGGAAGUUCUAAAUCCGGAUUUGUUAAGGGUGAUUUGGCCUUUAUCUAAAGUCAUCAAUUAAUUUCCUUUUAGGGUAAUAUGUUGGGGUUAAAACUGAUCUCAUUCAUUUUACGCACUUAGACAAAUAGACUAGGGCUUUGAAAGAAAGGAGAAGAGGGAGAAAGAAGAAGAAGACGCAAGAACGCCAAGUAUUAGCUUCGUGGAUUUCGUUAGGGGUGAUCUCUAACAAGGUAUAUGAGAUCAUUAGGUGAUGGGUCCUUUCACCCAACCUCCAACUUUAUUAAUUACACAAAACUAGAGUUAAAUUUAAAAGAAAUCUUGAAACUUUUGAUGAAACUUUAGAAGUUCUUGUUGAUUGAAUUGUUGUUGAUCACUAUUAGUUGUAAUCCAUGCUUUCGGAUUGUUUUCGAGUCUAAAUAAUUGGUUAAUUAGUUAAUUAGGGAUCCUAAGUGUUUGGGGUGAAAUCCAUGGGAGUUUGGGAAGGUUUUUAGAAAUGAAAAACAAAGAGGAAAGUCAGAAAACCCGUCGGAGAGAUGAUGGGGAGCCGCGCCUCCAAAGCCCCUCAAGACAGAGUCUGUCUGUCAGUCUAUGGCGCACCGCACCUCUCAGAGCGGCUGUGUACAACAUCUAUCCAUCAGGCUAUGGCGCUCCACGCCUCUCAGAGUGCCCCGACUCCUAGAGACCCCGUUUUUUCCCUAUCUUUUCGUACUAGUUCCUAAGUGAUGUACCCCUCAUUCCUAGUUGUUUCAAACACUCUAAGGUACAUCUUAAUAUCAUGAAAUCAUCCAUAAACAUCCAUAUUUCAAUUAAAAGAAAUUUGAUGUCAAAGUCAAAGAAGUUAAGAGUCAAGUCUAGAAGUUAAGAAGCGAGUCAAAGUAAAGUUAUAAGCUUUCUAAAGUCUUUUAUAAAUGUUUUCACUUUGUUUUAAAGACUUAAAGCUUCAAGUUAAGUAAACAGAAAGAGUUCAGUUAACUUCUCAAAAAAAAUAUAAUGGAACUAAGUAUUCCCUAGAGUUUUACAAAUGUUUCACAUUGAGUAAAGAGGGGAACUAGAAGUUCCAAAAGAGUUUUGAACAAAAAGAGGGAACGUUGACUUCCAAAAAGAGCUUUUUAAAUCUAAUGGGUUCAUUAAAUUAUCUCAACCCAAAGGAAGGAAGUUUUAUUUAAAGUAUGAGCUAAAGUACAUUUUUGGAGUAGUAUAGAGAAACGAUGUGGAGAUGAGAGUUCAUAUUAACUCAAGUCUCCAUGUACACCAUGUCGCUAACAUGGGUAUUGACGUGUCAUACUUUUUACAUGAUCAUGUAAGGAGAGCUAGUGGAUCCACUAAGUUGAGCAAGGUACUAUACCGAUGGCAAGGUAGAGGAUUGUCCUCUUGCAAUGUGAGCUAAGACUUUGUAUCAUCAUUUAGGAUCAUAGUGAUGGUUGUCGAUUAGAGAAACUCCACAGAGGCGAUAUUACUUUUUUAUAUAAGUAAAGUUGAGUUUGCUAUUGCAUUUCUUUUAAUGAACUAAGUUGUUUUCACCAUUUCAUGAUAUAUAUAUAUGUAUGUAUGUAUGUAUGCACAUAUGUAUGUAUAUAUAUUGCAAGUGAUUUGAACUACUUUAUAGUAUAUCAUUUAAGUUAAGUAUAUUCUCAAUUUGAGUAGAGCCAAGAUAGGUUCAUUUUAUCCCUUGAGCUUAAGUUGUUGUUUAUUUAUCCAACUCGCAUACUCGUACAUUCACUGUACUAAUGCCUGUUGGCCUUCAUCGUUUCAUGAUGCAGACGCAGGUACCCAGGAUCAGCACGUAGCGUUUCGUUGAUCUAGAUUGAGAUUUAGAGUUUGUGGUGAGGCUCCUUGCAUUCUAGAGGACAUCCCUUUCAUUUCUAUAUUAUCUUAGCUUGUAGGAUGUUUUGGGGUCUGUACCAACAUCCCUCUCUAGACAUUUUAAAGGCUUUGUAGACUAUAGUAUUUCAAUUUGGAGUUGUUUUUAGUUAAUAAUGCCAAAGUUCCAUUUUGGACAAAGUUAUGAUAUGAAGUACUUCCCUUGAUAUAUGUUUAUUCAUGUUUAAGUUAAGUUUUGUCUUCCUCUUAUUUAAGUAGCCAGGCCAAGGGUUCGCUUGAGGGCCAACAAUGAUCUUCGAGUGCGGUUCCGCCUAGGGUGUAGGCUCGGGGCGUGACAAACUUGGUAUCGGAGCACAAGGUUGAAGAGUCCUAGGGAAUCUAUGAAGUCGUGUUUGUAGAGUCUUAGUCCUCGGUGUGAAGCACGCCACAUCUAUGAUUAUGAGGAUGAGACAUUUAGGAAUGUUUCACUACUUCCAUCUUACUUUGUGCGAAGAGUUUAUGUAACACCUUGAAUAUCGAAUACUCAUUGUAAAGCCUAACAUAGGUUUCAUAAAGUCUAAACAUUGUUUAUAAGUCCAUUUUUAAUGAAUAUAGGUAUUUUAGGAGGUUUAAGAACCAAAACGUCCAAAACGUCCGGAAAGUUUGUUCAAAGAGAUAUUGGUGUGCCUUAGACUUUUUGACUAACUUUUAAGAGCUGGAAAUGUAUGAAAAUGGGUGGAAAGGUAGAUAAUGGGUGUUUGAGUUUUUCCAUGAUUGAAAUGUAUGGGUAUGACUCCAUAAGGAUCAACAAAGGGCUCUUGAGGAGGACCCCUGCAGUUUGAUGCAGCACUGCCUGGCAGUGUGCAUCGAUGGGAUAGACGAUGGCCCGUGUGUGGAUCGACGGGGCAUCGAUGCGACUAUCGUCCCACACAUAGGCUGGUAGAGAAGGUCCCUUCACCUAAAUAGUUUCUGGAAUCAUCAACAGGAUGCGGAGGUGCAUGCUACGAUCCGUGUGUGAAUCGACAGGGCGUCGAUGUCACCGUCGUUCCACACUUAAAAAAAAUUGGAGUAAGCCCUCAACUGCAAAGUCUCUAACCGAGACGACAGAGUGCAGGUUGAGGAGGGGUUUUCCGUCGACUCACCGACGGACAGUCAAUCGGGGUCUCAUCUGUGAGGGUCGAGUUUCACUAUUAAAUUUUAAAUGAUUUCAUUUAAUUAAUUAAUUGGUUUAGGAGUUAGUUUGGGAUUAAAGGGAUACUAAUUAAGUUAAUUAAUCCCCACUAUAAAUAUCCUCAAACCUCAUUAACCUAAAUACAACUCUCAAAAUAAACUCUCUUCCUUCUCUGUUAUUUCUCUGCUACAUGAACUCACCAUUUGAAUGGUAGGAAGAAAUAGGGUUUAGGGGCUGGAAAAAGGGUGGAUUCUUCAUCAAAAUGUUGCGAAACAUUAAGGUAUUGGUUUUAUUCACCUUUAAGAUUCUUUCCUCAAAAGGUUCCUUCAAAAUAGAUUUCAAAAGUUGAGUUUUCUUAUGGGUUUCAUUCAAUUACGAAACUGAAAUUAUGGAUUGAGUUGUUAAUGAAUUCUUAGGGUUAUUUUGAGUAUAUUAACGUGAAAUUAAACUUGUUUAUGGUAAUUGUUGAUGGUUUGGUCUAAAUUUAUUAAUAUUAUCCUCUAUCCCUAACCCUAGGUAGUGAUCUUGACCUAUAUUGUAUUGUAAUCAUUCAAUUUAGUUGGUUGUUGAUUUGAUUACUAUCAUAUGGUGUUAUUAUGAUCAAAUUUUUAAGAUGAAUUAUAGGCCUAUAAUGAUAGUUCUUGAGAUGUGAUUUAAGUUAUGAAUAAUAAUGUGAAAUUAGCCUAGGUACCUUGUCUCAAGUUGUGAUCUAAAGAUGAAUUGUGUAAUAGAGAUGCAAUUGGCCUUGUUAUUCUAUUGGUUAUCAUGGUGUGAUGAUGUUACUCCCCAAGUUGGGUUGAGUUACGGGUUAAUGGUAAGACCUUGAUGCUAGACUAUGAGGAAGACUCGGUAAGUCAUUAAAUCUCUAUCUUUACUUCCAAUUGUGAUUAAUUUUUGUUGAGUCAUGAUAUUACAUUUGGAGUAUGCCUUGUAUUAGGAUUAAAGGGUAGUAUGAUGUUUAAUUGAAAUGUCUUCACUGUGUUGUGAGGUUGAUUAAGGUGUAUUUGAUAUUAAGAUGGUUAUUACUAUCAAGGUGCCUUAAUAAGUUAUGAAAUGUUAAAGUGUUAACCUCAUUUAUAUGAAUUGUGAUGAAAGGAUUUACACUCAUACAAUUCUUAUUGAGUUAUUGAUGAUGAUGAUUAUAAAAGGGAUAGACCCUAUGGCCUAAAUUAAGUUAGGAAUGAUAAUUAAAGGCUUAAGGAAAUUUCAAAAAGGGACUCUAACUUAGCACCGAGUGCACUACAUAGAGGAGUGUCCUUUCCCACAUAGGGAUGUUAGGAACACUACAUUACUCUCGAGAUUGGAGACUAUAAUGCAUGGCGCAUAAAGAGGGUCCCAACUAAAUCUCCUAGUUCUUGAACAAUGUUUCCCCCAUAGGAAUACUAUCUAGUGGAUCCACAUAGUUGCUAUGUUUUAUGCUUUCGUACUACCUUGGCAAGUAGUCCACCUUCUUUUGGUGUAGGGUUUUAUGACACCGGAUCCCACACUAGCUCAUGUGGUCUAUAUCGGUUAAGGAAAGAUGUUCCCUAAAGGUAAAAUGAAUUAAAGGACUUUAAAUCUAACUUGGAUAACCUAAGGGGUCUAGAUUAGUCUAGGUAAAGGUAUGAAACUCUACCUAGACAUUGCACUAGUUAUCCUUGAUGGGUGUCUUAGGAGGAGAUUCUCAUGUAUGUUUAUGUUAUGACAAUAUAUGAUGUAUAGACGAUGACCACGACACAUUGUUGAUAUUAUAUGUUGAUUAGUUCAUUUAUGAAUAUGCCUUGGUUUAUAAUGAUAUUAUAUGAUGAAAUGCAAGCCUAAACGAUAUGAUAUGUAAAGUUGGACAUUGGCCUUGUUUUCUUGUUGAGGAUACUUGAUUGAGUAAGGUUAUGGGGCUUUGCUUGGUCAUUGAACUUGUUGACUUGAUAAGGACUUGUGAUUAAUGGUCUUGCUUAUUAUGAUAUGUUUAACUCUUAUUCAUUCUUGUGAUAUUAUUUUCUUGACGUCAGCGUUGUAGCAAAUCAUGGUUUCAAGUGUGUUGGGAUAAGUAUUACUUGUUGAGAUAGUAAGCAUGUUUGGUUGAUUAAUAUGACUUACUUGACUUUGCAUUAAGACUCUAAAGGGAUAAAAUGACAUGAUUUGAUAAAAAGUCCCUAUUAGCAUGUUUUGCUUGUGUAUGUGCAUAAAAUCCCAUACUUAGUACAUGUGGAGUACUAACCUCUUUUUCUUCCCUUGUUCCAAACAUUUUAGGUUCCGGUUAUUGAAGAGUUUGGAAGGCGAUAUUGUUGAAAGCUUGGAUUCCUUCUUUCAUACAAGUGGGGUAGGUCCUCAAAUUUCGAGGGAAAUGCCA
rnacentral:lncRNA from 1 species